rnacentral:rRNA from 1 species
GAUGAACGCUGGCGGCGUGCCUAAUACAUGCAAGUCGAGCGAACAGACGAGGAGCUUGCUCCUCUGACGUUAGCGGCGGACGGGUGAGUAACACGUGGAUAACCUACCUAUAAGACUGGGAUAACUUCGGGAAACCGGAGCUAAUACCGGAUAAUAUAUUGAACCGCAUGGUUCAAUAGUGAAAGACGGUUUUGCUGUCACUUAAAGAUGGAUCCGCGCCGCAUUAGCUAGUUGGUAAGGUAGCGGCUUACCAAGGCGACGAUGCGUAGCCGACCUGAGAGGGUGAUCGGCCACACUGGAACUGAGACACGGUCCAGACUCCUACGGGAGGCAGCAGUAGGGAAUCUUCCGCAAUGGGCGAAAGCCUGACGGAGCAACGCCGCGUGAGUGAUGAAGGUCUUCGGAUCGUAAAACUCUGUUAUUAGGGAAGAACAAAUGUGUAAGUAACUAUGCACGUCUUGACGGUACCUAAUCAGAAAGCCACGGCUAACUACGUG